GUUGAUUGCAGCUUCUCCAGGUCAGAACUGAGGUCAAUAGUGGCUAGGGAGGCUACUACAGGUGAAAACCAGAUAUUGAAAUUAAAGGGGCAGUAAUAAAUGAAAAAGUCUUACAUGUCAGUUUUGGAAUAUGACAGCUGGGUCAGAAUAUCUCCAAAACGGCAAGUUUUGAGGGGUAUUCCCGGUACCAGUGGUUAGUUCCUACCAAAAGUGGUCAAAGGAAGGACAACC